AGUACCAGACAUGUCGCCCUCC
rnacentral:miRNA from 1 species